GACGAACGCUGGCGGCGUGCUUAACACAUGCAAGUCGAACGGAAAGGCCCUGCUUUUGUGGGGUGCUCGAGUGGCGAACGGGUGAGUAACACGUGAGUAACCUGCCCUUGACUUUGGGAUAACUUCAGGAAACUGGGGCUAAUACCGGAUAGGAGCUCCUGCUGCAUGGUGGGGGUUGGAAAGUUUCGGCGGUUGGGGAUGGACUCGCGGCUUAUCAGCUUGUUGGUGGGGUAGUGGCUUACCAAGGCUUUGACGGGUAGCCGGCCUGAGAGGGUGACCGGCCACAUGGGGAGGGAGAUACGGCCCAGACUCCUAGGGGGGGCAGGAGGGGGGAAUAUUGCACAGGGGGCGAAAGCCUGACGAAGAAACGCCGCGUGCGGGAUGACGGCCUUCGGGUUGUAAACCGCUUUCGCCUGUGACGAAGCGUGAGUGACGGUAAUGGGUAAAGAAGCACCGGCUAACUACGU
rnacentral:rRNA from 1 species